GUGUCUUAACACAUGGCAAGUCGAGCGGUAAGGCCUUUCGGGGUACACGAGCGGCGAACGGGUGAGUAACACGUGGGUGAUCUGCCUUGCACUUCGGGAUAAGCCUGGGAAACUGGGUCUAAUACCGGAUAUGACCCUGGAAUGCAUGUUCUGGGGUGGAAAGAUUUAUCGGUGCGAGAUGGGCCCGCGGCCUAUCAGCUUGUUGGUGAGGUAACGGCUCACCAAGGCGACGACGGGUAGCCGACCUGAGAGGGUGACCGGCCACACUGGGACUGAGACACGGCCCAGACUCCUACGGGAGGCAGCAGUGGGGAAUAUUGCACAAUGGGCGAAAGCCUGAUGCAGCGACGCCGCGUGCGGGAUGACGGCCUUCGGGUUGUAAACCGCUUUUGACAGGGACGAAGCGCAAGUGACUGUACCUGUAGAAUAAGGACCGGCCAACUACGUGCCAGCAGCCGCGGUAAUACGUAGGGUCCGAGCGUUGUCCGGAAUUACUGGGCGUAAAGAGCUUGUAGGCGGUUCGUCGCGUCGUUUGUGAAAACUUGGGGCUCAACCUUAAGCUUGCAGGCGAUACGGGCGGACUAGAGUACUUCAGGGGAGACUGGAAUUCCUGGUGUAGCGGUGAAAUGCGCAAAUAUCAGGAGGAACACCGGUGGCGA
rnacentral:rRNA from 1 species